UUUAAGUUAUUAACUUGAUUUUACUCACUAUAGAUUGUGCUUUAUGCUCCUUAACUCUAGUUUCAACUAAUCCAGCAAGUUUAAUUUUGUUAGCUCAAAAAUAAGUAAUAAUAUCUCUAUUCUUAUCGCACUUAUUAGGCCCCUUACAUUCCAGUCCACUCAACUUAUUGACUACUAAUAGAGAAGCCCCAUCUUGAGCUAGAAAAGAGAAAAGUUGCUAACGCAACAGUAGUAGUGGUAGUAUCACCUCUAAAUAUACUUAUCUAAUCAGCAGCUUCAGUUGGCAACUGGCAACUAAGAAUCAACAUCUAUUAGGGACUAUCAGUGGUUACUCUAGAACCCACAAGUAACAAAUAAGGUAGUAUUGAUCCUAAUUGGAGAUCGCCAAUGGAUAAGGAAAUCACAACCUUAUAAAAGAAUAAAACAUGGGAGGUCACACCUCUAUCUCUGGAAAGGAAAAUACUACCUUAUAAGUGGGUUUACAAGGUGAAACAACAUUCUGAUGGUACAAUUGAGAGGUACAAGGAAAAACUUGUUAUUAGAAAGGACAUACAAAGGGAAGGUUUAGACUACAAUAAAACCUUAUCUCCUGAUGUUAAGAUGGCAAGAAUCAAAUAUCUCAUAGCUAUUGUAAUUAAGAGAGACCGGUCCAUCUCUUAGCUUGGUGUGAAUAAUGCUUUCCUUCAUGUUGAUAUUCAAGAAGACUGUAUGAAGUUUCCACCAAGAAUGACUGGCCCUAGUCCCAACCAUAUUUGCAGACUUAGAAAGUCUUUAUAUUGACUCAAGCAUGAAUCAAGGCAAUGGUAUGCCAAGCUUGUUGUUGCCCUCACUUUCAAAGAUUUCUCAACAUCUUUGAAUGAUUACUCAUUAUUUUUUAAAAGGCCAAGGGAUCUCAUUUCUAUCAUUGGAGUGUGUGUUGAUGACAUCUUGAUUAUAGAGAAUUAUCCCAAUGAGUUCACAACUAUGAAGGUCUUCCGUGACAUGAAUUCAAAAAGGACUUGAGGGAGCUACAUUAUUUUCUAGGGAAGGAGAUUCACCGAGAGCAACAUGGGUGUAUUGUUAGUCAAAGGAAAUUUUCCUUAGACUUGUUAGGGGUAGUUUGGUUGAAAACAAGUUAUGCUGAGAUUAGUUAUGAUGAGAUAAAUUAUGAUAGGAUAAAUUAUAUUGGGAUUAGUUAUGCUUGGAUUAUUUUU